GUAGUCCUCAAAGCGAUGAAGGACUUAUGAGGAGACAGAGGCGCUGUUGCCCACGAGAUGAGAUCUACCUCCUUUUAUACUUUCUUGUUAUGUAUGCAGAUGCAGAUGUGAAUAAACCUGCUGAUACCACAAGCCAGGCCAGUUCCUGAAGGUUUCAUUUUAGAAGGAAGACAUCC